rnacentral:rRNA from 1 species
AACGAACGCUGGCGGCAUGCCUAACACAUGCAAGUCGAACGAGACCUUCGGGUCUAGUGGCGCACGGGUGCGUAACGCGUGGGAACCUGCCCUUAGGUUCGGAAUAACUCCCCGAAAGGGGUGCUAAUACCGGAUAAUGUCUUCGGACCAAAGAUUUAUCGCCUUUGGAUGGGCCCGCGUUGGAUUAGCUAGUUGGUAGGGUAAAAGCCUACCAAGGCGACGAUCCAUAGCUGGUCUGAGAGGAUGCUCAGCCACACUGGGACUGAGACACGGCCCAGACUCCUACGGGAGGCAGCAGUGGGGAAUAUUAGACAAUGGGCGAAAGCCUGAUACAGCAAUGCCGCGUGAGUGAUGAAGGCCUUAGGGUUGUAAAGCUCUUUUACCCGGGAUGAUAAUGACAGUACCGGGAGAAUAAGCUCCGGCUAACUCCGUG